rnacentral:rRNA from 1 species
CUUAGUAACGGCGAGUGAAGCGGCAACAGCUCAAAUUUGAAAGCUGGCCCUUUUAGGGUCCGCGUUGUAAUUUGUAGAGGAUGAUUCGGCGAGGGCUCCUGCCUAAGUCCCCUGGAACGGGGCGUCAUAGAGGGUGAGAAUCCCGUAUGCGGUAGGUUGCCUUAGCCAUGUGAAUCUCCUUCGACGAGUCGAGUUGUUUGGGAAUGCAGCUCUAAAUGGGAGGUAAAUUUCUUCUAAAGCUAAAUACUGGCCAGAGACCGAUAGCGCACAAGUAGAGUGAUCGAAAGAUGAAAAGCACUUUGGAAAGAGAGUUAAAAAGUACGUGAAAUUGUUGAAAGGGAAGCGCUUGCAACCAGACUUGUCCGCAGUUGCUCAGCCGGUCUCCUGACCGGCGUACUCUUCUGCGGCCAGGCCAGCAUCAGUUCGGGCGGUCGGAUAAAGGCCUCGGGAAUGUAGCUCCUCUCGGGGAGUGUUAUAGCCCGGGGUGGAAUGCGACCAGC